GGGGAAAUUGGCGAAAAAAAGAAGUUCAUAUCCUUAAUUUUCUAAAAAAAAAGGAUAGGGGGCUAAUUGAAAAUUAGGUACAAAUUUAGGGGCCAAAUCACUAGUAUACCCAUCUAACAAACGAUCCAUUUGUUCUCACAUGCCAAGUACAACAAGUAUUUUAUUUAAAGGAUACAAAGCUUGGUAAUAGUUGGCGAGUUGUAGAGAGGUCACAACCUCGAGAGGAAUUUAUGAUUUUGUAGAAGAGAAAGAAGUGAAUUAUGUUGUAGAAGAGGGCGAGGAUCCAUAUCAACAAGAGUCGCAUGAGUUUGUUAGUUUUGUGGAAGGUAAUGAUGAUGAGGUGUUGUACGUAGAGAUGACAUGGACAUGAUUCCUGUGGAACAUGUUGAAAGCGAUGCAGAAGAUGGUGCACAUAGCAAUGAGGACAUUGAGGAAGAUUUAAGCUAUGCUAGUGAUAGUGAAAAUGAUGCUCAAUAUUUAGCUGCUAGUUGCUCAAUAUGUGCUUUCUUCUGCUAUUUGUUAAAAUGGUUUAACAGUAUGUCUGUUUAUGUUUAUGUUUAAGUUUCUAUUUCAAUUGCGAAAGAGAAUAUGAUUUGUGCCUUUAUGCCAAAGUAGAAUUUUCUACUACCUGGUUUUAGUUAUUAAUAGGGAAUUGUUGUACUACAUUUGUUUUCCAUUUCCUUCUGUGAAUCAGAUUUAUGAAUUUUUGUAACAGGAAGAAUGGUGGAUGUUAUUACUUAGUUGGUUCUAGGAAGGAGGGGGGAUAAGGUUACUUAGUUGUAACAACAAAAAUGGGGUUACUUUACUUGAAGGAUUCACAAGUUAGCUAAGGGGCAAUUUUAACAUGGAAGAAGUAGAAAAUUCUGCUACCUAUUCUCAGUUUUUCAUUUUCAGUUUCUAAGGUAUUUUUUAUACAAGUUUUAAAUUGCUAUGGCUGGUAGAGGACGAGCUACGAAGGUAUUGCAUCAAUUGCGAAAGUCUCCCUGACUUGAAAACAUCAAUCCUAACCAAAAUACAAUGUCGAUCAAUGUCUCCAUCUUCUAGUCAGUAUGGAUCAUCUUCCUCCCACCGUGAUAAAUUAGUGAUUCCUUGAGAUAUUGAACUAUCAGAGUCUUCUCAAGUAGCUCACUCUCCUACUUUGGAAGAGGACAUCAACACUACAAGUUUGCAAUUGCUACGUCAUAGAUUCUCUAUUUUUUAAUUAACUGCAGUAAAAGGUUGUUUGUGAUUGUAUGUAGAGUUUGAUGUAGGUUCAAGAAGCAGCAAGAAAAGGCGUGGACAUACACUAAGUAUUAAGCUAUCAAAGAAGAGAUGUUCUGGUGAUUUAGUUGAAAUUGACAUUCCUGAGCACAUUAAGAGAGUUGUAGGAAACAAUUGUCGAAGCUACAUCACGAAUUUAGGGUGCAUAGUUCGAAGGAAUGCUCCGUUACAAGUUGAUAGUUGGAAAAAAAUUGAAAGGAAAGAUGUUACAUUGAUGUUGCGUUGGGUCCGUGAGAAAUUCAAUUUGAGCAAUGAAACUUAUGUAAAUAUGGCUAUUGAGGAUCACAUGAAGAGAAGAUACUACUCUUGGCGUUACAGUUUGCAUAAGAAAUUUCUAGAGUACGGAUCUGAGGAGGAGGCACUUGAGCAUCGACCUCAAACAGUGGGAGAGGAUGAUUGGAACUAUCUAGUUCAAUUAUGGCAAAAAGAUGAGUGAAAGAAAAGUAGUGCAAAAAAUAAGGAAAAUAGAAAGAAAUUGAAGAUCACACAUUGUGCUAGUUCAAAGGCCUUUAGUCGUAUUAGAUAUGAAAAUGUAAGCUUCAUUUGACCCUUACAAUCUUCUUGCAUUGAAACUUUUUAAAGUUAUAAUUUAUGAAACUUGUAAAUAACAUGAUGGUGGUCUAUGACUACAUGAAAUAGAGAAAUUCUAAAACUGGAGAAGAACCUAGCAGCAUUGACUUGUUUCAACUCACUCGAUUUAGCACAAAGAAAACAACAUGGGUUGGCGAAGAUGCCAAGAAUGCUUUUGAUGAGAUGAAGAAGCUGAAGAAGUUGCCACAAAC